rnacentral:tRNA from 2 species
CCACCUGGCUCGGGGGGAUAUAGCUCAGUUGGUAGAGCUGGUUUACCCUGUGGCGGAUGUCAGCGGUUCGAGUC